GAUGAACGCUGGCGGCGUGCCUAAUACAUGCAAGUCGAGCGAACGGACGAGAAGCUUGCUUCUCUGAUGUUAGCGGCGGACGGGCGUGUAACACGUGGAUAACCUCCCUAUCAGACUGGGAUCACUUCGGGAAACCGUAUCUCAUUCCGUAUAACAUUUUGAACCGCAUAGUUCAACAGUGAAAGACGGUCUUGCUGUCACUUAUAGAUGGAUCCGAGCUGCAUUAGCUAGUUUGUAAGGUAACGGCUUACCACGCCAACGGUGCAUAGCCAAGCCGAGAGGGUGACCAGCCACAUGGGAACGGAGAAUCGCAUCCGUCCACUACUGGAGAGAGCAGUAGGGACGCGUCCUCAUUGGGCGAAAGUCUAACAGAGCAACACCGCGUGAGUGAUGAAGGUCUUCGGAUCGUAAAACUCAGUUAUUAGGGAAGAACAUAUGAGUAAGUAACUCUGCACACCUUGAGGGUAACUGAGCAGAAAGCCACGGCUAACUACGUG
rnacentral:rRNA from 1 species